rnacentral:rRNA from 1 species
UACGAAGGGGGCUAGCGUUGCUCGGAAUUACUGGGCGUAAAGCGCGCGUAGGCGGCUUUGUAAGUCAGAGGUGAAAGCCUGGAGCUCAACUCCAGAACUGCCUUUGAAACUACAUCGCUAGAAUCAUGGAGAGGUUAGUGGAAUUCCGAGUGUAGAGGUGAAAUUCGUAGAUAUUCGGAAGAACACCAGUGGCGAAGGCGACUAACUGGACAUGUAUUGACGCUGAGGUGCGAAAGCGUGGGGAGCAAACAGG